AUGGGGGCAACCCUGAUCCAGCCAUGCCGCGUGAGUGAUGAAGGCCCUAGGGUCGUAAAGCUCUUUCGCCUGUGAAGAUAAUGACGGUAGCAGGUAAAGAAACCCCGGCUAACUCCGUGCCAGCAGCCGCGGUAAUACGGAGGGGGUUAGCGUUGUUCGGAAUUACUGGGCGUAAAGCGCACGUAGGCGGAUCGGAAAGUUGGGGGUGAAAUCCCGGGGCUCAACCCCGGAACUGCCUCCAAAACUAUCGGUCUAGAGUUCGAGAGAGGUGAGUGGAAUUCCGAGUGUAGAGGUGAAAUUCGUAGAUAUUCGGAGGAACACCAGUGGCGAAGGCGGCUCACUGGCUCGAUACUGACGCUGAGGUGCGAAAGUGUGGGGACUAAAGGGAUUAGAUACCCCUGUAGUCAAUCACUAGUGAAU
rnacentral:rRNA from 1 species